rnacentral:rRNA from 1 species
CUGUAAGCGUAUACCAAAGUUGUUGCAGUUAAAACGCUCGUAGUCGGAAUUUGGCAGUUCCGGAAGUGUGCACGUCGUGUGCGCACUUUGCGGGGACUGCUUUUGUGGUCUUGCGUAGGAUGAGGCACUUUCAUUAGUGAACGUCCUCACGCAACCACUCUUUACUGUGAGAAAAUCAGAGUGCUCAAAGCAGGCAUUUGCCGUGAAUGUAUUAGCAUGGAAUAAUAGAAUAGGACUCGGUUCUAUUUUGUUGGUUUGUUGGGACUGAGUAAUGAUUAAGAGGGACAGUUGGGGGCAUUUGUAUUCCGGCGCUAGAGGUGAAAUUCUUAGAUUGCCGGAAGACAAACUGCUGCGAAAGCGUCUGCCAAGGAUGUUUUCAUUGA